rnacentral:lncRNA from 1 species
CCUCGAUCUUGAAGUUUAAACUACAUUACACACUUAUGGUAGGUACAUUUGGUUUCCGUUUUAAAAUAUCAUAUGUUAUAGUGUGAUCCUCAUACAAUGUUUUCAAUCCAAGGACCAAUGAUACAAACAAUAAAUACAGAAAAGGGAACUGCACAACCACAAAAUAUGGAUGUGCCUAGAAAAAUCGCUACAUGUGAUUAUGCAGCGCAAAAAAAUCUAAAGUCAGUCUACACUUCCAUCCCCCGGUAAAGUGAAACAACUUGUACAUUCAACACCAACAAAUCUAAUACAGAAAACCAGUAAGUUAAUUUAGACGAAUAAAUUGCACAUUUCUUGGCCUAAAAACUUUAUGGAAACUUACGAUGCAAAUUAGAAGAAAAAAAGAACGAGAAUGACCACAGUAUUCUAUAAUCAUAUUUGUUCAACACUUAAACUUGGGAAGAAAAUACAAAAAGCGCGAUAGAAAACAAAGAGUACGGGGAGGGGAGUAGAUACCACAUUUCUUGCAGUGAAAAUAAUUCUCACGACCACCAACUCUGAAAAUCAAAAAACACAUUUUUCAGAUGUAACGGACUACAAACAUCAAAAAAAUUGAUUUAGGUUAAUCAGCAUAUAGAAAAUGGUGGGCUCGCUAACACUGCAUCCCCACUAAUCACAGUGAAACCCUGCCCCCUUUGCCAAUAUGACAAUUAAGUGUGCAUCCUUAGUAUAUUCAAAAAACAAAAUUCAACAACUCAACAUCCUUGUCAAUCAAAGUUCAUAUUAUAUCUUUGUUCGUAUUGAGCUGAAGCAGACAGACUCAACACAUAAAAAACAUUGAAUAAGACGGAUGCUCAAUUUAUAGAUUUUGAGCUCACCAAUUUACACUAUAUAACUAGCAAACAUAAGUAAUAAACAUACCUCAUCGUAGUAGACUUUGCACAAUUCACAGAAAUAUUUCUCCCGUUUGACUCCAAAUUCGUACAGACACGAAACCACCUUGGUCACAUUAACAGUAGAUGAAUAUUCAAUUAAACCAAUCAGAAUUAAUGUUGACCAACACAUAUCAAAGAAGCACAAAUCUAAAAUCAAGAGACGUACCGGCUGCUCCGGUCGCAAAAACUGUGCAAAUUAACGGAAACUCAAUACAAAAUCCAGAUCUCCUUAUCAUAAAUGCCCCGACAAUUUUUAAAACAUUAAAAAAAAAUGAAAAAAAUGGAGAAUAGAUAAUCCUGAGCAACUUGCUUUACAUUUGUCGAACGAGUUUCGUGUCGAUCAAGGGGUUCACUCAACAUGCUUAAUCAAUCACAAAGAAAAAAAGGGUCAAACAACCAACAAUUUAAGGGGGUUAAACAACUCACAUAUAAAUUGAUUAUUGUAUACAUCACUAAACAUGAUUUAAUCAAUCAAACAAGCAAAUAUAAACAAACACCAGUAUCAAAGAACACGGGUUGGUAAAUCUGAGCUAAAAUAUUACAAGAUUCAAGAGGAUACAUGAAAAAAUGAUACCGUCGCUCAUUGUGGAAUGGCGACAACGAAGACCUCAUUACAACAGGGAGCUCUGAUCUGACAUCUCUUCUAUAAUGUUGGCAUUCGAUAGAAAUUCAUCAAAACACAGAAUAAAACCAAAUUAAUUCAAUUAGAACUCACCACACAAGAAAGCAGUGGAAGACAACCCAUAAUCUGAUAAAAUUCCAUAAAACAUGCAAUCAAAGAUCAUAUAACAACUAUAAAACAACAACCCACAAUCAAACGGGGGAAGAAAACACAUAAUCUGUAAAAAUAAAAUAAAAUCCACAAAACCAUACAAUCAAAUCAAAUUAAAAAAAAACUCAAAUUCAUUUCAACAAAGAACUCAACCCACAACAAAUACUCCGGAAGAUAAAACAUCAAUCCACAAUUGCAUAGGAAAAAAAAAAUGUAAUCCAGAGAGAAGCCCGGGAGAAAAUACCCAUAACACAUCUUCCCAAAAUUACGAGUUAUCCGACAAAGGAAGAUAAAAAAACCAAAUACCCAUACAUAUAUAUCUAUCUAUAUGUGAGUGAUAAAAAACUGCAAAAACAGAGAAAAAUGGAUAUGGAGAGAGAGAGAGAGGAAGAGGGAGAGGGAGAGGGAGAGGGAGGGAGAUUAUACCCAUAACCCUCUUCCCAAAUCAAAGGCGUUUCAUGGGAGAGGCUCCAAUUUCCAUUAGUAGUGGAGAGCUUGUCUUGUUGCUAGAAAUGGGAAAAGCCUGAUAGAGAGAUUGGUGAUGGGCUUCAGAUGAGGAUGUUCCAAAGCGUCAAAGAGAGAACGCCAUCACGCAUUACACAUACCCUUUAUAGAUUCAUCCAUCAGCUUCCCUCGCCAAAUGCUGAAUAAAAAAUACUAACGAUAUGAGAGAGAGAGAGAGAGACUUGGAUGAAAAGCGACGAGCGGCGUGUGAGUGGGGAAAACCAACCGUCGUGGGCAUUUACACAAACAGUUGGCACGCAAUAAUGUAGGAGUAAUUUCCAUGUUGGUUCACUUCAAUCAGUUUUUUAUUCUGUAUUUAACUGCACGAAUCUUGAGGGAGAAUAUGAAUAUUAUUUUCAGUCCUUUCGAUUUCUUAUGCUUAGUUUGGUUUAAAGUUGUCAAUUUCGUAUUAGUCGAUAAUGGAAUAAAUGUUAACUGUAUGUUCAAUUCUAUUAUGUUACGUACUAAGUUGUCAAUUUCAUAUCGCUCAAUGUACCGUUUUGAUCGAUAAAAUAUAUUUUAAAUUUAUUUCUACGUAUACUAUAAAUAUUUUAUAUGUAUUUUUUUAGAGUUAAAUAAUAUUAUAAAUAACAUGAUAUUUAACUACACCUUUAAAGUGUUAAAGCAUUUAAACAAAAAAUCAUAAAUUUCAAGAGAAAAAGAUCAUUCUAAAAUACUUUGGGCUAAGAAAAAAUAUUUAAAACUUUAAAAUUUAUGAAAAUAUUAAUUUCGGAAUGGAGCGAUACAGGCCCUUACAUGCCGAUACAAGCAGAGUAAAAAUUUAGGUAAAUACAAAAAAUUAUUCAAUUUUAGAAAAAAAACACUAAAAAAAGACUUGUCUAAUUUGUCAGGUAAAAUUAAUUUUUUUGUUUAUAGUAAAUUUUUUUUCUCAAAUUAAAUAAAAAUUUAUACAUAUUCAGACUCCUAAAAACUCAAAACUCAAAACAGUUAAAAAAAAUUAUAAAAAAAAAACUAGGAAAAUUUGGCAAAAAUAAAGUGAAAAUGUUAUUUUCCUAAUGUUAAUUUCAAUUUUGUUGUGGUUGCUUUUCGCAUGAAUAAUCAAAGAUAUAUUUUAUGAAAAUUCGCUAUGAUGCUGUUGUUUUCAACCAUAUGACUUGAAAAUAUUUUGAAAAUUUGACUAAAUUGGAAGGAACACUAAAAAGUGGUCCCAAUCCAAACAUGAUGAUUUGCUUAAAUUUUAAAACAAAAAAGUUUAACUAAUUCUACAAGUUGUUGGUGAUGCUCCUUUAAAAAAAGAGCAAAAAAUCUAUAGUAUGCAACGCAUUAUAAAAAUAUUAAGUUCACGGUGAAUAUUAUAUUUAAUUAUGGUGUAUAUUAUGAUUAGUAUGGGCAAUGUUAUAGAGGUGUGUAUGUUAAAAAUAAUAAAAAAAAUAAUAAAUUAUGUAAUAUUAUGGUAAAUAUUAUGACAUUUUGUGAUAAAAAAAAUAUGAUUUUUUUGCUACGAUCAAAUGUGGUGAAUAUUACAAUCGAUUGAGAUAAUAUCAUACCUGAUUGUAUCAUCUGUGAGGGUAUAUAUUGUAGUCACUCCCUUCUAUAAAACAUACUUCAUAAAAGAUAUUAUUUUCCAUUUUUUUUUUGGAUGUCUCAAUUUUUUUAAAAAAACAAAUAAAUUAACUACUAAAAUAUUAUAGACUCUCACUUUUAUUUUUGAAAUGAUGUGACAUGUUUAUUUCUUUUUACUUUUAGGUAAUCUUAAAUUAUUAAAGUUUAAAUUUGUGAAGUUGAAUAUUCUAAUGUGUUCAAUCUUUGAAUUCUCCUUUAAUUCUGUUUGGUUAAACUUUUAAACCAAUUUUGCAGACUUUUUUGGGGGAAAUAUUUUAAAAAAUAUAUUUUUUAAAACAAAAUUGUUCUUUAUUUUUUCUAGGCCUAUUGAUGCGAUAGUAAAAAGAAGUGACAUAAUUAUUGAUAGUGACAGCACAAAAGAGGGGUAAACCGAAAUUAACAUUGGAUGCAGUAGUAAAAAAUAAUAUGAUUGGAUUGAAUCUCAAUGAACAUUUGACCGAACUCAAUAAUGUAAAAGAAUUCAUAUAGUCAACCUAAUUAAUUAGGACAAAAGCUUAGUUUGAUAGGUUUGAUUUGGUUUAUUAUUUUUCAUGUGUUACUAAUUUUAACCAAAAAUUAUUUUUGAGAAUCUAAAGACAUCUUUUAAUAUUUUCUCAACAAUGAAUUUUUUUAAGAAAUUCUCAAAAAACCAAUUUCCGAAAAGGUGAAACCCGUUAACAAACAAUUUUUUUAAAAAUUAUUCAGCAAAAUUAAUUAUGAAAAUCAAACCAAACCAAACUUAACUGCAAGAAACCGUAGACAAGUUUAUUCCUAUGUAAACUUUAUGCUAUUAUUACAAAAGAAUACUACAUUUGGUGUUGAAACAAUUUUGAAAUAUGCUCAUACAUUUAAUGUCAAAAAUACUUCUAAUAAAAUUUAGUUUUCCAAAAGAACACAUACCCUAUAUUCCAAUUCUUUUAAGUCACAAAGGUUAAAGCAAAAAAUUGAUCUAUUCUAGUAUCACUUCACAACACACGUUACAAUAAUUAAUUGUAGAAUAGCACAUAAGGAUGACACGGGGCAAGUAUGCAUCGAGAGAUUCAUUUUUCAUACUUAUACCUAAAUCAUUUUAUCCCCAAUAUCCGACGAGUAUUGAAUAUUACUAUGAAAUCCACAACGCAAUCAGUAUCAAGUAUACCCAAUACAUGAGUCGAAAAAAAAAUCAUAGUUUAUUGUCAAAUUACAAAUUAACAUAUUUCUAGAUUAAAUUCUAACAUAUUUCAUCAAAAUCUUUUAAAUACAUCAUAUAUUAAAAUAAAAAAUAUCAAUUCAACCAAGUAUAUACAUCAUAUUGCUUAAAACAGUGCCAAAACUCUCUUUAUAAUAUAAAUUAAGUUCGGGUUUCAAGAUGAAUCAACCAUACCCGUCUUUUACUAGACAAAAAAUAAUAAACGUGUUAGAAGUUGUUUUUGAGAGUUGUUGUGAACACACUUUGGGGAUAAAUUUUAUUAGUUCCAUACACGAAAUUAGAUGAAUAAGGAUAAAUUCAUGUUCUCCUAAAUGAGUAGAUGAAUUUAGUCAUCAUUUGUUCAAAAACCAAGUUAAUUGAUGAGAAAUGUUUCUCAAAGAAGCUUCAAGCAAAGGAAAAAUGUGGCUAGACAAGGUUGUCCCACAUUGAAACCAAAAAAGGGAAAACGUUGGUUAGAAAUAUAAAGCCCAAGUAUGGACUAUUUAAAUUGGGCCAAUUGGGCACCACAAGUUUUUAAAGGGGAUGAGUUAUGUAUUAAGUGGGUCUGAUCCAUAGUCUAGGGCUUUAUGGAUUUGACCUCAUGUGCGGCGUGCGCCCAGGCCGCCCGGCCGGGUCGGCUUGGGCUGGGCUGGGCUGGGCUUAAUUGAAUAUUAAUUUGGAGAAAAUUUAUUCUCAAUUAGUUAAUUUCUAAAUUAAGAAAAGAAAUUACGUUUUUUUCCGGAAUUUAAUUUCCUUUUCGGACGGUCACACGGUUUCGGAUUUAAAACAAAGAUUGUUAUUACGAAUUCUUUCAGAAAAUUUUCUUUUUUAAUCCGCGACAGUGCACCUUCAAUUUGUGCAGAAAGGUCCUGUGCACAAGCGGUUCGGCCCGAAUAGGUGUAUUUGGGCCGAAUGGGGUGGGUCGUUCCCAAAGAGAUGUGACUCUUUAGAAAGUGGUGUUGGCUUCUAUAAAUACCUCCACUAUCCAAGCAUUCUUAAUACAUUCGAAAUCCAUAAGAGCAAGCAUUUAGAUAGGCUAGACAUCCCUCAUCUGCCUUAGUUUUCAUUGAGAGAAGAGAAGACACUUGAAGGUUCGACGUGAUCUCUGAUUUGGGAGUAAUACUAUCCGAAGAUCGUUGCUGUUGUAUCCUGGGAGUCGCCUACAAACAUAUUCCGUAAGUACCAAGUGCGGGUUGUAAACGGACUCUUAAGGAUACUGAAUGUAAUCAAGGCCUCAGCCAAAUUCAAAAUUCUGCAUCAUUAAGUUGCAUUGGUUAUAAUCUGUUCUUUCUAUCUUCUUCUUCUAUUUGUGAUUCAAACUUUCUGUUGUUAAACAAAAAAAAAACUAGAUUUUCCAACAAAACUCAUAUCUAAACGGCCAUUCAGCCGGACUCUUGUCAAUUUUGGACGAACGAAAUUCCAUACUUAAUUGACACACGCUGCGUUGGUGUGCAUUUCCUCGCUAGCGUUAGAUAUGAACGGUGAAAACAACACACACAAUCGGAGUGAUUGUUAACCAGAUCUGAGGAUCUCCAUCCAGUGGCUCUUCCAUCUUGCCCGUUUCCAGAGUUAUAGGUAGUUCACCUGCUUUGCUUCCCAAUCUAUGUCAAAGUGGAGAGGUAUCCUCAUAGAAAUAUUUGCAACUCUACUGCUGUUAUUUUGGAUCUUUAAUUGCUGAUUUCCUAGUUUCACUUUCUUUUUAGUCCUGUUUGUCCCCUCUAUUUUACAAAACAAAAUUGAUUUUGAAAAAAAGUAAAAAAAAUAAAAUAAAAAAUAAAAAAUAUAUAUAUAUAUAUAUACUAACCACCGCCCACAGACAAUGAAUUAGUUGUCGCUCUUUAUUUUUCGUAGGCUUGUUGAUGCGAUAGUAAAGAUAAAUUAUAUGAUUAUUGAUAAUGACAUAACUAGAGGGAAGGAUAGACUGAAAUUAGUAUUGAAUGUGGGUAAACUAAAAAUGAUAGAUGGAUUGAAUUUCAAGAAUAUUUGACCUUGAAGAGUCAAUGCGUAAAAAAAUCAUAUAGCUGACCCAAUUAAUCAGGAAAAUACUUGGUUUGGUUGGUUGGUUUGAUUUUAUUUUAUUUUUCAUAUGUCACUAAUUUUUAUUGAAAAUAAUUUUUGAGACCUUGAAGACCUUUUUUUAAACAUUUCUCAACAAUGCAUUUUUUUAAAGAAAAUUCUCAAAAAAAUAAAUUCCGAAAAGGCAAAAAUCAUUAAACAAGCAAAUUUUCUGAAAACUAUUUAGCAAAUCAAACCAAACAAAAUUUGAUUACAAGAACCCUAGACAAGUGUAUUCAUAUGUAAAUUUUAUGCUAUUGUUAAAAGAGAACACUACAGUUGGUAUUAACACAUUUUUGAAGUAUGCUCAUAUCUUCUAAUGUCAAAAAUACCUCUAAUAAAAUUUAAUUUUUCAAAAAAACACAUACCCUAUACUCCAAUUCUUUUAAGUCACAAGGGCAAAAGCAAAAAAUUGAUAUAUUUUGAUAAUCACUUCACAAACGUGUUUACAAUAAUAGUUAUAGAUAUUGCAUAUAAAGAUGGCAACAGACCAGGCAUGUCUUUGGGGAACUCUCUUCACAUUUAUUAAUACUAAAACUAAACUCAUUUUAUCCUCAAUACACCAACCAAGUAAUUGGAUCUUGGUACCAAAAUCAAACACAAUCGGUAUCAAAUAUACCCCAUACAUGAAUCUUUAAAAAACAAAAUCAAAUUUUAAUUCGCAAAAUACAAAUUUAACAUAUUAUAUAUUAAAUUCUAACAUAUUUCAUCAAAAAUCUUUUAAAAACAUAUAUAUUAAAAUACAAAAUAAUCAUUCAACUAAUGCAUACAUCAUAUUUUUUAUAAUCAUAAUUCUCUUUAUGAUAUAAAUCUUUGGAUAAGGUUUAAGGAUGGGUUCGGAUUCAAGUAUUCGUGUCAUGGAGAAUAAAAAAUCAAAUUAUACCUACCUUCAUAGCAAAAAAUUGGAUAACUUCUACUUAAACUGUUGAUUAAUUGCCUUCCCUCGAGUUUGGAUCGAAUUGUCAAUUGCUAAUGGCACGCGUGCCGUGUGCAUUCCUCGACUAGUGGUUAGAUAUGAACAAUGAAUACGCACAAUCCCGAGUGAUGUAACCAGAUCUGGAUGCUCUCCAUCUCAAGCGGUGGUUCCAUUCUUGUCUUUUUCCAAGUUAUAGGCAGUAGAAUUUACUUGCUUGCUUUCCAAUUUAUGUCAAAGUGGAGAGUACUCAGAGAAGUAUGUGCGCAACGCAACUGAUGACUAUUUGGAUAUAGCUGCUGAUUCCCAAGGUGCACCUUUUUUAGUCCUUGUUUGUCCCCUCCAAAGCAUUGUCUAAAAUAAGUAAUCUUGAAAAGUAAAAGUAAAAAAAAUUAAUAAUAACCCAACUGACAGUGAAUUAAUUGUCGUUAUACUUGAUUUAGAUUGUAAGACGAUGACUCAGAUAAAUUUUUGUUGUACUCAAAAUUUGGAAUUACCAAUAACAUACAAGACCAUAGUUAUCAGAACUGCACCGGACAUUGAACCGGUCAAGACACCGGUUCAACGGGUUCAUGGUUCAACCGGUCUAUAAUUAUAAAUAAUAAAAAUAUAUUUUAUUAUAAAUUAAUACAAAUAAAUUUUUUUUUUACCCCUUCAAACUACUAUGUAGGUAAUUUGAAAGUUAAUAUGAAAAAAAUAUAGUUUAAAAAUCAAAAUAUUACAUGGAAUAUACUAUUGCAAAUCAUUAUAUAUAAUUUUUAAUACCUUAGAAAAAAAAUUGGCCCCAAAUGGGUUUAAAUUAUAUAUCUAUCGUAAUAAUAAUAUAGUAAAAAUUAAAUAAAUAGUAAAAAUAUGAAAAAAAUUCAAAAAUUUCAAAAUUUUAAUUCAAAAUUGUGAGGGCAAAGUACAAAAUUAUAAUUAUAAUUUCUGUUUAAAAAUCGGCCGUUCAACCGGGUUCAAUCCGAUUCAUUUGUAUUUUCGGUAAAAUAAUUGUACCGACCCGGUUCAGUGGCCAAUUUCUCGGUUGAACCGGCCGGUUCGGUCAAUUUUGCAUAAACUAUGCACAAAACAUAAAAAUUUACGCAGUUUCGGCUAAUAUGCUACGUCCACUGAGAGAAACAAAAUCCACUACUCGAACGAAUGAAUAACAAAGAAGGAGAUACAACCCUUCUAACUCACACUCUCUCACAAUUUCUCGAUAUUUUGACUUCUACUUCUAACUCUCAAACACACCGCUACCUAGAGAUGAUCAUUUAAGAGUUAUACAUUACUCGAGAGUUUAACUCCCAAUGAAUACUUCAUGUUAGUCAACGAGCUUGUACAUUCAAGAAAAUUAAAACUAUUAAGCUGGGCUAAACUCAACAAGUUUGAUAUCCAUUGUUGAUCGGUUAGGACGAGAUCAAAGUAGAACAUUGUUAUGUUCUCAUUUAAAUUUUCUUAUUCGCGAGUUGGUUGGCAUGGAUUGGAUUAGGGAUAGGAUUUAAGGGGGUCCGAGAAAAUUUAUUAGUUUGUCAAAGUCAAAACGUCAUGACAAUCCAAUUCACUAACCGCAUUUUGGUAUUAUCCACUUUCACCGGUUUAUCUUAUGCCUUGUAUUUGUGGAUUAAAACCUAGAUUAGGCUAGUUUGUUGUUUGUUUUUUGAUUUUGAAUUUUUUAGUAAAAGUUAAAAAUCACCGUUAAUAAAAAUUUUAAUUUUUAAUCUCUUUGAUGAUAUCACUCCGAAGAGAAGAAGAGUUUUGUUUAACUUAUAAAAAAAAUUCAAUUAAGACAAAAAAUCUAUUUUUAUUCGAUAAGUAAAAAUAUUUUUGUUUGUUGUUAGUGGACAAAAUUUUUACUUUUUUAUAUUUCUCUUGUUAAUAAAAACAGAAAAAUAUAAAAUUUUAAUAAAACGUUUGAAAAAACUGAUUAAAGACGUAAAAAAUCUCAAAAGCUACAACAAUUAAAAUAAAUUAAAAAAAACUAGUCCACUCCCAAAGCAUAUGCAUGUGGGUUUUGUCCCCUGUAGACAUCACACAAUGACACAAACAUUGUGUUGAUCAAUAAACUAGUUUUGGGACAUAAAAAUAUAUUCGACCAAAAGGAAUAUAAAAAUGAGUCAUCAUGUGCAAUG